rnacentral:lncRNA from 1 species
GCAGGGGCACAGGGCAUCUGAUCACUUUCUGUCGGUAAGAAUGCAUCAGAUGAGGGCCGGCCCUGCGGCUCAGUGGAUAAAGCCAUUGACUGCGGCGCCAGCAUCCCGUAUGGGUGCAGUUCAAGGCCUGGCUGCUCCACUUCUGAUCCAGCUCCCUGCUGUGGCCUGGGAAAGCAGCAGAGGAUGGCCCAAGGGCUUGGGCCCCUGCACCCACAUGGGAGACCUGGAAGAAGCUCAUGGCUCCUGGCUUCAGUCUGCCAGCCCCAGCCAUUACAGCCAUUUGGGGAGUGAACCAGUGGAUGGAAGACCUCACUCUCUCUCCUCUGUAACUCUGCCGUUCAAAUCAAUCAAUAAAUCUUUAAAAAGAACUAGGAGUGCAUCAGAUGGUUCCCUGGAAUUCUCAGAGGGUUGGGACACGCAACAUAAGUGUGUGCUCAGAAAGAGAAGCCAGGUGAAGGGACCGGCAAGCCAGCCUGUGCGUCCUUCUCAGAUUUCCAGAAUCUUUGACCACAGGACACGCAAUCGUGGUCUUGCAGCUGUGACUCCUUCUGCUGGGUCAGCAGCUUCUCCCCUUCGUGUCCACUCCUCUGCGUUCACACCUAGAUUUGUUGGAGGGAGAGGGGAGAGGACAGGGGGUAGAGCAGCUCCUGGAGUCUCACGGGCAGGUCUCGGAUGCAUCUCAGGCGAUUUCCACAGCUGCCUCACUCACACCCGGGGUCUUUCCUCCAAAGGGGCCUGUACUGAACACAGAUGAGAAUAUGCCACAGUUUGUCGUUCCAGCUCCUUUAAUUGAACAGGACCAAUCCAUGCUUCGGAGUUGGCAGCACCUGUGCCCAAGCUUAUGCGUCACAGAGGUUAUCCCUGAGCGCCAAGAUGACGCUCCCAUGACCGUUAUCUGCACGGGAAAGCAGCCUCGCGAGGCCACCCACCACCUGGCGGUCCCCUCUGCCCCUCAUGCGUGAUCAAAGCUACCUAUCACCUGCGUCAUGGGUCACAGCCACUU